CAGACUAUCAAACAACCUAAUUUUCUACCAUCUUUCUGCCAGUCUAAAUCAUCAGAUUCGGAAAGAAAAUGGCAUCUAUUGGAUGUUAUAAUUUACCUACACCAAUCAGCAGAAUACAGAACUUUGGAUCAUCUAUUUAUUAAUUUUUGAGUUUCUGCCGGAGGCAAAAAGGCUUUCUUUAAUAUUGAUUGGACCCUGGGCAAGAAUUUUACUUGGGCUCCCUGUACCCUGCCAUCCUCACUCCCUGGCAUGCAGUCACACUCUUUACAACAUUGUCCCCCUCCUCUCCCAAAAAUCACAUUCAGAUACACAG